AUCCCAUCGUUUAACGCCGCUUCUCUCUUCUAAUGGUGUUUCGUUUUUUUUCUUCCUUUUUCCUGAUUUUGUUAUCUGAUCCCGAUAUGUUGUUGUUUUGUAGAUAUCCCUAAACGUUGAUCGGUAUUGUAAAUGCGUAAUGUCAUUUGAAUGAUAAGAUGGAUGGCGACUUUAAAGUCAUAAGAAAAAUCUUUUGGUGCACCACUGUAAGCGCAGUACGUGAUCAUGAUGAAAUCAUUUUUUAAAAUGUUGCAACCGCAAUUAUUGGUCGGGAUGGAAUCGUUUUUAUUUUCUAGCUUCGAUUAAAAAAGAAGGACAAGGAAGUCAACUUUUUUAAAUGAAGAUCAUAAGUCCAUCGAGGAGGGAGAAAAUGACUGGCAAAGAUAAGGAUUUCAAUUUUCAGAUAUAUGGAAACUUCUGAUUUGUUGAAUGAGUUUUCUAGAGACGGAUAUAAAGCGGAUCAUGAUCUAGAGUUGAUGACCGUUCAAUAGAAAUAAAAGGAAAUCCCUCGAAAAGUUUGCAUCCUUCCAUAGUUUUGUUAGCGUUUUUGUUCAAUUUUCACUUAGUCAUAGAACACUACAAAAUCCGAUCAUAAUUAACGAAGGCAUCUUGAACAGUCAAACAAAAGCUAGAAGACAUUUUUUCAAUUGUAUUCCUAUACUUUUACAUGAUUUGUGUUCAUCUAAUUCAAGUUUAA